rnacentral:rRNA from 1 species
UACACACCGCCCGUCACGCCAUGGGAGUUGGUUUCACCCGAAGGUGGCGCGCUAACCCGCAAGGGAGGCAGCCAACCACGGUGGGAUCAGCGACUGGGGUG